ensembl:lncRNA
CAACUAUUAAAAUAAACUAAUUACAUAUUUGUAAAAAAAUAUAUAUAUUUAAAUCAUUAUAACGUACAACAAAUACUAUCAGAAUAGACAAAUACUUUUUUAACUUUACAUUAAUGAGAGUUACAUUAAUCAUACAUUAAUGGUAAUUAAGUAUUUUGCAUUUUUGUAAUGAUAAUUUAAGGGUGAAUAUGAGUGUCAAAAUAUCAAAAUAAUUUUUUUUCCUUUUUUCCAUUUUAUUUUGACAUCUAGACAUGUUCUUGACAGGUUUCAUGAGAUUCACCACUAGUUUUAUUAGUUGCUAAUGCUGCUUAAACACAGUGUUUGUAUAUUUCACAUGAUCAUGAGUGCUCAAUGAGAACAUUUAAACCUAAAAUAUCACCUCAAUCCUCUGAAGAUAAAGUUGAUCAUUUUAGUCUGCGCUUACAGUGAGAUAUUUUAGCAUAGCACAUAUUACAUUAUAUAAACAAAACCACAGCUCCACUAGUCAUGUACAAGCCUCUGUUCCCACAUUUGUUGAGUAUGAGUUAUAUUUAGUGGUAGUAUUACUAGGGGGUAUGAACUUGUUCAUUAAGAAACAUGAUUAAUGACAAGUUCGAAUUGAAUUGUUUAAUUAGUGGAACAAGAGGGAAUAAGGUAGAUCUACACCACAUAAUUUGAAAAUGGCCCAAGAGAAACAGCUAAGAAAUGAAAAUUAUUCAGUGAUUGUUCUGGGAAAUGGUUUUAUUGCAUCACUCAUAUAAGAAUGGAUCCAGUAUUUUAGGUGGCAAGCACUUUCCAUGAAUAGGGUACACUACUACUACUACUACUACUACUACUACUACUACUACAAAAAAAAAAAUAAUAAUAAUAAUUAAUUAAUAAGAUGCUUUCAUUCAGCAAGGUUGCAUUAAAUUGAUUCAAUUUCAAAUGAACACUGUUCUUUUAAAUUUUCUACUCACAGAAUCCAGAAUUUUUUUUUUUCCCGAUUUCCACAAAAAUAUAAAGCAGCGUAAUUGUUUUUAAUAUUGAUAAUAAUAAAUAUUUAUUGAGCACCAAGUCAGCCUAUUAUAAUGAUUUCUGAAGGACAUGUUUCACUGAAAACUGGAGUAAUGGUUGCGGAAAAUGCAGCUUUGCCAUCACAAUAAUACAUUUAAUUUUAAAAUGUAUAUAAAAAAAACUGUAAUAAUCUUUUGUCAAAAACAAUAUUGCCAUUUCUGAUUAAUUAAAUGCAGCCUUGGUCAGCAUGAGAUACUUAUUUCAAAUACAAAAUAUAAAAAUGACCGACUACAAAAUCAACUUAAAGUCAGCUUAAACUGGUGUAGGAUUUGCUUUGUAAUUAUUUUGUAAAUUUACUAGUAAUUUCGGAGUAAAAAUUGUCUCAAAGAAAUGUCAAGUAACACAUUAAAUUGAACAUGAUAUUUAGAAGUUGAAAGACUGAAACAAUUUUCUUGUAAAAUGUACUUCAAUAAUCGUUGCUAUAUUUACAACUUCAAAAAAUAUUUUAUAAUGUAUUUAGAAAGAUCCCAAAUGGCAAAAAUGCAAAAUUUAAUAGAAAAGAAAUAAAUAAACAAACAAACCACCCAUCAACAUUAAAUUUGACCUCCUUUUAUGGUAUUGUUCUAUACAGGCUAUAUACUGUACCCUAUUCGUGGAAAGUGUCACAGAACAUUAAACCAGUGCAUCCUAUAAAUCGCUACCGUACUGCAGAGUUUUCUGUUUGUAAUAGCCUUGUUUUUCUCUCCCAAGCCCAAACAAACAGGCUUUCCAAAAGUCUUGCAGCUUGAACUUGUUAUCUAAGCAAUUAGCUUGCCCACAGCAGCCUACUUUAAUUUUCCUUAAUCAGGCAAUAUGCAGUGAUAAAUUAUCCGCCUCUGUCCUCUGUGUACUGCCCGGCAGACAUGCAGCCCAGCAUGCAGAGGGCUAAAACAAAGGACAGAAUCUGCAUACAGUUUGGCGCUUCAAAGCGAUGUUCAAAACCUCUUCUUUUGAUCUUCAGCGCAUCCGUAACCUCGGCUCAUGGCAAUUUCGCUCGCAGCUUAGAAGGAAGAUGUUGAUCAACUGCACUUUGAAAAGCACUUAAACCAAUAAGAACCUAUAAAAACCGAGCCGCUUUUAGCCCACAUUUGCUGAAGAUUUUCUGGUAUCGCAACAAUAUCUGUGCAGAGAUAUAUUACAGCACAUUGUUAGCAAUGACCAUCAUUCAGGUUUAACUAAUGCAGAGCUUAUAGAUCCUCUUUAAAACAGGCACCCACUUGCCUGAUUUCCUUUUUUUUUUUCCUCAAUGAUGAAUACCAGUCAUUAAUUCAAUGGGAACUUCACCAAGCACCUGCGAUUUAUCAUAGGUAUUUUUUCCUAUCCAACAGCAUUCAUUCCCUUUAACCUUUUAGACUCGGUUUCUAAGCACUGAUGGAUGAGCUACUUAAUAACAGAUCUGCAGAUUUGGUAAUGAGACUACAAUGAAUGCAACAGCAUGACCCGCAAAGAAGGUGCUAGAAUAUAUAUUUCUAUAUAUACACAUUCGCUCACUGCCUUUACUUCAUCUUCAGGGUCUCUUGUCUCUCUAUAGCUCAAUGUAGAAGCUAAGGCUUGUCCAAUAAGUCAACAAAUCAUUAGGUCUCGAUUGAAAUAAUGAACUGUAAAAGUCCAUAAAUGACACAUAGCAGAAGACAAAUGAUUAUUAAAUGCUCCCUAGAGUCUUAUUCACACUGGACAUUUAUUACAGCUCUGAUCAUAUAAAAAACAGAUGUUGUGUAGCAUCAUCUAACACAGAUACAGAGCGAUACUGAAGGAAGAGAGCAUGCGGAUGAGAAUACAAGCGGGCGAUCUUUUUGUUUCCAUGGCUUCUAUUUCUCUUUUUGUCCUAAGCCUGCCCAUCCCAAUGGGUGCAGGGCGCUUGGCUCUCUAAAAUCACAGGCUAGAGGAGGAUUUCUGAGCUAAUCUGUCCUCUGCUAUAGUUUUAAAAUGAUGCAUCUACAGUAGCACCGGAACAUGAGCUUCAAAGCCCUGCAAGAAACGCAUUAAUUUAAUUACUAUACAAUCUCAGUUUAGUGAUGUAUGGCUGUAAAAACUAAACAAAACAACAACAAAAUCACAUUAGUGAGUAAAUCUCACAAAAAUAUGUCCAAUCACAUUUCAACCUAAAAAUUACACAAUGGAAAUUAUGCCAAUUUUGAGAUCAGUUAGUUUUUUGCAUUUUUUGCAUGUGCAUUUUGGCAAUUCUCUGUACCCCAUAGGAAAAAGGAAAAAUAAAAUUUGGUGUGUGCAAUAUAUUUUCCAGAAAAUUCCAUUUUAUCACUACAUAUAUAUAUGAAUGUGAUCUAAUACAUGUAUGGCACAUAUUAAAUAUACUUUUUAUACAUAAUCAUUAUGAAUAAAUACUUAAAAUAUUUAAUUUUUAAAUUAUGGAAAGAAAUUUGCUUAAUUGAAAAAAAAUAAAACUGUAUAAAAUGACAAAAUUGCCAUGAAAUGACACAAUAUAACAUCUAAAUGGUGCUAAAAAUAGGUUUAAUGUUCUUUAUGCCAAAUCUUUCUCUUGAUUUUGGGGUGAAAUAUGACCUGGACAUGCUCUUUUCACAAUUUUUUUGUGAGAUUCGCCCUAAAAUAUUCAAAGUCUCAGCCUGUAUUGAAACAAAAUGUGUCCUGGAAUUGUUGUAUGGGAUAAACCGUGUUUGUUUUUAUAUAUUAACCCUAAAUGUUAAUUAAACUCGACAGCUGUUUAUUGUUUUGGCAGCAUAAACAUUGGACAACAUUGGACAACAUGAGAGAUAUUAGUGAAACUGUCAUUUAUUGAUUAUUUAUUGACUGAAAUUCAGCAGUGGCACUUAAAACUCACAACUGUCCUCAUACUGUUCUCUUUUGACAAUCACAUGGAAUUCAGAAUGGCUAGGCCUGAUGGCGUGGAAUACAUCUCAUUUGUACUUUCUCACAGUGUCCUUAUUCAUAACAAGCUACAGUACGUCCACUGAAGAAAGGACCGGCUUCAUCAGUGAAGAACUUGUGUUUUGCAUCAUGCUUCUAAAAAAGACCUGAUUCUUUGUGCACAUGGCCUUCAAUGUCUGUCAAUGUCUCCGCCAUUCACUGUCAGUUUUGUAAAAGUGAACCAUUGCUAUUUUUUUUGAGACACUGACUAACUGUAGCUGGAAGCUGUGAAGAUUGUUCUUUUCUAAACAAAACUGUUAUAUGAACUUGUGCCUGAAAACAAACAAACUGGAUCUAUAAUGGAAGAGGGAAAAAAAUACUGUUAAACAAUCAGCUUUUCUUACUGACGGGCACUGAGGGUCCUUACACUUAAAGGGACAGUUCACCCAAAAAAAAAAAAAAAAAAGACAAUUCUGGCAUCAUUUACUCAGCCUCAUGUUGUUGCACAGCCAAAUGACUUGUAUCUAUAGACAUAAAUGUUGAAGAAUUGUGAAUUUCCAUGCAAUUAAAAUGAAUGAGGAACUGGAGCUGUCAAGUUUCAAAAGGAACCCAAAAUACGAUAAAACUGAGUCAUGAUUCAUGCAUUACAUUCAAGGUCUUUUGAAGCCAUAAAAUAACUAGUGAGAAACAGACCAAAAUAUAUACAAGAGGUUUUAUCAGAGAAGUAGAUGUCCAAUUAAUGAAUAAAUUAUUUUAUGUUGGAUCAUUCAACUGAUUUUUAAUUAGUUGGUCACAUUAUUGCGAUCUUUCUGAAUGAUUCAUUCACAAAUCAGAUGGAUAUUUAGUUCAACUUACUGUCUCGAUUCAGUUGCAGCAGGAAAUCUCACUGGAAGAAAGGAUAAGUGAAUAAAAACAGAAAAAACAGUCAUACAGGUUUGAAACAACAUUAGGGUGAGUAAAUGAUUACAGAAUUUAAUUUUUUCUGUGAACUAUUCAUUUAAAACAACUUUUACUCACUGAUAUGUAUCAUUUAACAGUACUAUUAUUUAAAAUGAGAAUUAUUAUUAUUAUUAUCAUUAUAAUACGUGUGUUUCAUUUUUAUGGGACAAUACAAAGCCCAGGUGCCCUUCCUAAUGUAUAAACAUGUAAAUAUCUCAAAGCGUUUAAUGUGUAUUCUGAAUUCAGAGCUGGAAAGAGGAUUAAAAAUGUGUAUUAUUUAUGAAGACAAAACUAUUUUGUUAAAUAGACUGAAAAAACCUGUUAUUCAGUAAAAAAGAAAGCCGG